AGAGCGAACGCUGGCGGCAGGCCUAAUACAUGCAAGUCGAACGGAUCCUUCGGGAUUAGUGGCGGACGGGUGAGUAACACGUGGGAACGUGCCCUUUGGUUCGGAACAACUCAGGGAAACUUGAGCUAAUACCGGAUGUGCCCUUCGGGGGAAAGAUUUAUCGCCAUUGGAGCGGCCCGCGUCUGAUUAGCUAGUUGGUGAGGUAAAGGCUCACCAAGGCUUCGAUCAGUAGCUGGUCUGAGAGGAUGAUCAGCCACACUGGGACUGAGACACGGCCCAGACUCCUACGGGAGGCAGCAGUAGGGAAUCUUGCGCAAUGGGCGAAAGCCUGACGCAGCCAUGCCGCGUGAAUGAUGAAGGUCUUAGGAUUGUAAAAUUCUUUCAGCGGGACGAUAAUGACGGUACCCGCAGAAGAAGCCCGGCUAACUUCGUGCCAGCAGCCGC
rnacentral:rRNA from 1 species